GCGUUAAUCGGAAUUACUGGGCGUAAAGCGUGCGCAGGCGGUUUUGUAAGACAGGCGUGAAAUCCCCGGGCUCAACCUGGGAACUGCGCUUGUGACUGCAAAGCUAGAGUACGGCAGAGGGGGGUGGAAUUCCACGUGUAGCAGUGAAAUGCGUAGAGAUGUGGAGGAACACCAAUGGCGAAGGCAGCCCCCUGGGUCGAUACUGACGCUCAUGCACGAAAGCGUG
rnacentral:rRNA from 1 species